rnacentral:rRNA from 1 species
UACAGAGGUCCCAAGCGUUGUUCGGAUUCACUGGGCGUAAAGGGUGCGUAGGCGGUCGGGUAAGUCUGAUGUGAAAUCUCACAGCUUAACUGUGAAACUGCAUUGGAUACUAUUCGGCUUGAGAGUUGGAGGGGGGACUGGAAUUCUUGGUGUAGCAGUGAAAUGCGUAGAUAUCAAGAGGAACACCAGUGGCGAAGGCGAGUCCCUGGACAACUUCUGACGCUGAGGCACGAAAGCUAGGGUAGCGAACGGG